UAAUACGGGGGGGACUAGCGUUGUUCGGAUUUACUGGGCGUAAAGGGCGCGUAGGCGGACCAUCAAGUCGGGUGUGAAAACUGGCAGCUCAACUGCCAGCCUGCAUCCGAUACUGUUGGCCUUGAGUGCAGGAGAGGAGAGCGGAAUUCCAGGUGUAGCGGUGAAAUGCGUAGAUAUCUGGAAGAACACCGGUAGCGAAGGCGGCUCUCUGGCCUGAUACUGACGCUCAAGCGCGAAGGCUUGGGGAGCAAACAGGAUUAGAUACCCUGGUAGUCCAAGCGGUAAACGAUGGGUACUAGGUGUCGGGGGUAUCGACUCCCUCGGUGCCGGAGCUAACGCAUUAAGUACCCCGCCUGGGGAGUACGGUCGCAAGGCUG
rnacentral:rRNA from 1 species